AAGUCGUAACAAGGUUUCCGUAGGUGAACCUGCGGAAGGAUCAUUCAUAAUAAGUGUUUUAUGGCACUUUUUAAAUCCAUAUCCACCUUGUGUGCAAUGUCAGUCGUUCUCUUCUUAUGGGGAGAGUGACCAAACAUCAACUUAUUCUAAACUCUUUGUCUGAAAAAUAUUAUGAAUAAAAUAAUUCAAAAUACAACUUUCAACAACGGAUCUCUUGGCUCUC
rnacentral:misc_RNA from 1 species